UCCUGAAACCCAAAGGCGUAAUGAAACGUGAAGGCCCUUCGCGGGCCGCGUUGCGAUCCCGGACCGCACAGGGGUCCGACACAGGGAGCAGCAACGGCCCGUCCCAGGCGCUCUCUAGUCGCCGGGGCGGAGCGUGAGCGCACACGUUGGCACCCGAAAGAUGGUGAACUAUGCCCGGGCAGGACGAGGCCAG
rnacentral:rRNA from 1 species